AACGCAUCUUGCGCUCCUUGGUAUUCCGAGGAGCAUGCCUGUUUGAGUGUCAUGUUAUCUCUCAACCCUUGGGUUGGACUAUGGACGUCUGCGGGAGCCUGCCUUCCGCUCGUCUCAAAUGCAUUAGCAGGUGCCUCGCUCCUUGCUGGCGUUUAGUAAUGCUUGCGCCGCGCGAGGUCGCGAACAGUGCCCUUCUGCUUACCAGCCGGCGCCCCGAGUGCCAAUUUAUUGACCUUCUGGCCUCAAAUCAGGUAGGACUACCCGCUGAACUUAA
rnacentral:misc_RNA from 1 species